rfam:Aedes albopictus isolate Foshan contig124114, whole genome shotgun sequence.
UGUUCUGUAGCUUAGUUGGUUAAAGCGCCGGACUAGAGAUAACGGAGUCGUUGGUUCGAAUCCCACCAAAACAA